rnacentral:rRNA from 1 species
GCAACUCCGAAUACCCAAGAGUGCAAUCAUGGGAGACACACGGCGGGUGCUAACGUCCGUCGUGAAAAGGGAAACAACCCAGACCGCCAGCUAAGGUCCCAAACUUCUAGUUAAGUGGGAAACGAUGUGGGAAGGCUCAGACAGCUAGGAGGUUGGCUUAGAAGCAGCCAUCCUUUAAAGAAAGCGUAAUAGCUCACUAGUCGAGUCGGCCUGCGCGGAAGAUAUAACGGGGCUCAAACUAGAGACCGAAGCUGCGGAUGCGUUUAACGCAUGGUAGAGGAGCGUUCUGUAAGCUGUUGAAGCGGAAGCUGUAAGGCACCGUGGAGGUAUCAGAAGUGCGAAUGUUGACAUAAGUAACGAUAAAGGGAGUGAAAAACUCCCUCGCCGGAAGACCAAGGGUUCCUAUCCAACGUUAAUCGGGGUAGGGUGAGUCGACCCCUAAGAUGAGGCUGAAAAGCGUAAUCGAUGGGAAGCAGGUUAAUAUUCCUGCACCUCGCAUAGCUGCGAUGGAGAGACGGAGAAGGCUAGGCUAGCGCGGCGUUGGUUGUCCGCGUUUAAGGAUGUAGGUUUGGAACUUAGGCAAAUCCGGGUUCCUAUAUGACUGAGAUCUGAUGACGAGCUCCUAUAUGGAGUGAAGUAGUUGAUGCCCGGCUUCCAGGAAAAUCUUCUAAGCUUCAGGCUAUGUGGGAUCGUACCCCAAACCGACACAGGUGGUCAGGUUGAGAAUACCAAGGCGCUUGAGAGAACUCGGGUGAAGGAACUAGGCAAAAUGGCACCGUAACUUCGGGAGAAGGUGCGCCGGUUUUGGUGAUGGGACUUGCUCCCUAAGCUGAGGCCGGUCGAAGAUACCAGGUGGCUGCGACUGUUUAUUAAAAACACAGCACUCUGCAAACACGAAAGUGGACGUAUAGGGUGUGACGCCUGCCCGUGCUUGAACGUUAUUUGAUGGGGUUAGCGUAAGCGAAGCUCUUGAUCGAAGCCCAAGUAAACGGCGGCCGUAACUAUAACGGUCCUAAGGUAGCGAAAUUCCUUGUCGGGUAAGUUCCGACCUGCACGAAUGGCGUAACGAUGGCCACACUGUCUCCACCCGAGACUCAGUGAAAUUGAACUCGCUGUGAAGAUGCAGCGUACCCGCGGCUAGACGGAAAGACCCCGUGAACCUUUACUAUAGCUUCACACUGGACUUUGACCUUACUUGUGUAGGAUAGCUGGGAGGCUUUGAAACUUGGACGCCAGUUCAAGUGGAGCCGAUCUUGAAAUACCAG